ACGGACCUCGUUACAGCAUCAUUUCCUUUCCCCUUCCCUCCACCAUCUCCGCCACCAUUACGCUGCCGCUUCAAAUGGGUUCACAGACAAGAAACGGCAUAAGCGCGGUGACGAGGAGGAGGAGAAGAAGGCCCUCUAAAGUUCAUAGAAGCUUGAGGCCGGGCAACAUUGGUAGAACAACCGCCGGUGGUUCAUCGGUUUCGGACAAGUUGGAGGCCUUAAAGAACCUUAUUCCAUCCAAAAAUGGGGAGAUGAAACCCGACCAGCUGUUUCAAGAAACGGCCGACUACAUUGUACUUCUCAAUACUCAAGUUCUCGUUUUGCAGAAAUUGAUUGAUUUUUAUGGGUCUCAACCUCAAGAAAACGAAAAUGAAAAUUCUGUAUAGAUCAUAAGCAAAUAUUUUCCAUUAUCAAUGAAUCCAUAGGUCUGGAAAUGGGAAGAAAUGGUUCUUCACGUUAUUCGUUAUAAAAUGAAGUAGAUUUUAGUAUAAAAGAGUUUUAUGUUUCCUUUGUGCCAUCGAAAUUCUUUGUUUCUCUUUGAUGGGUUCUUGACUUGUUGCUUCUUAUUUUCCUAUUUCUUGUAGUUAUUGAUUCUUGAUGAGAAUAUAUUUCCUCCUUAACCAGUAUACCUUCUUGGCUAGAGGGCUGGACUGGGGUUCUGGGAAAAUCUCUACGAAUUCUAAGUAGAAAAGACAGAUCCGACCCCUCACGGGGAGCCUAGUCAAAGGAGUAGUUCGCAGAGCACUAUUGAAAUGCUAUACGCAAAG
rnacentral:lncRNA from 1 species